GAUGAACGCUGGCGGCGUGCCUAAUACAUGCAAGUCGAGCGAAUGGAUUAAGAGCUUGCUCUUAUGAAGUUAGCGGCGGACGGGUGAGUAACACGUAGGCAACCUGCCCUAUAGACUGGGAUAACUACCGGAAACGGUAGCUAAUACCGGAUAAUUCCUCUUGGCUCCUGCUAAGAGGAUGAAAGACGGAGCAAUCUGUUACUAUGGAUGGGCCUGCGGCGCAUUAGCUAGUUGGUGAGGUAACGGCUCACCAAGGCGACGAUGCGUAGCCGACCUGAGAGGGUGAACGGCGACACUGGGACUGAGACACGGCCCAGACUCCUACGGGAGGCAGCAGUAGGGAAUCUUCCGCACUGGGCGAAAGCCUGACGGAGCAACGCCGCGUGAGUGAUGAAGGUUUUCGGAUCGUAAAGCUCUGUUGCCAGGGAAGAACGUCCGGUAGAGUAACUGCUACCGGAGUGACGGUACCUGUGAAGAAAGCCCCGGCUAACUACGUGCCAGCCGCCGCCGUAA
rnacentral:rRNA from 1 species